rnacentral:misc_RNA from 1 species
GACAAGGCAUUAACAAAACUUAUUAUAGCAAGACACUGAUCCCCAUAUAACAAAUAAUUGCAUUACAAGGCCUUAAAAGGCAAGAGUACAAACUGGGCCAGUGCACAUCAACAAAAGAAAACCUGCAAAUCUAAAAGUCAAGCCUUGUAACAUUGUGACCCAGAUAAAAAAGAAAAGUCUAGCCCAUCUAACCGAGGAACCCUAAGCAAGCAAGGAAGAUCGCAACCAUGCUAGUGUCGUCACCUUCUGCUGCAUCAAGCUAGACCAUCGAUGAGGAAGACAACAUGUCAACUACUAGUGCAGAUUUACAUGAAGAAACCAAGAAUCCAAGGUCUCAUGCAUCCAACACUCCUCAUCAUCAAACUUACAGGUUCCAACGACAAAGAGCAACACAAGCUUAGGAGGGGACGUCGUAGGGCUGUCAGCCUCUCAAUCUGCUAUAGCCUUGAGGGACAACUUCUAUCAGAAAAAGAAGGAGCUUCAACUACCCGGAGAUACCAACAUCAAUGCAUAGACAGCCCUCCCACUGAGCAACACAAGGAGUACCGAACCCAGCCAAAUGACCACUCAAAUAAAAGCUCCAAAGAAAGCUCCCUUAAAAACCAAAUCUCUAACAAGACUCCCUCACCAUGAAGAGUGCAAAUCCAAAACACAAAUAAAACCCAAAAGAUAUAAACAACCAAUCUUGAUGUGAGGAGGGAAGCUACAAACAAGUCAGAACAGACACUUUCCCCUUCCUAGAAAGGCAGAAAAAGCCCACUGAAAAAAUACACUCGGCGAGGACCCGAGAAAGAAACUUAACAAACUUUCACUUUCAGGGAGAAUUCUCUCUCUGGAUAUUUAGAGAGAGGAGUUGCCG